rnacentral:rRNA from 1 species
UGCUCAGUUCCGUAGGUGACCUGCGGAAGGAUCAUUGCACACACGAGUUGCAGCCAACCCGCGGCGAACGAACACAUUGUCCCCCCCCUUCGGCGGGUCGUGGCGCCCUCGCGGCGUCGCGGCCGGCCGUCACCCCCUCGUCACGAGCGCGAGCUCCGUGGCGUCGGGUUUCCACACGAUGCAUCACCCGAACGACUGAGUCCCGAAUACUUGGAUGGGGGAGUGGGUGCGCGUUCCGUCCCCUCGAGCGAGCUCGGGGCGUGCGGCGCGCGCCGGUUACCUCACGACGAGUUGAAACAUAACCAAAAACAACUCUCAGCAACGGAUAUCUUGGCUCUUGCAACGAUGAAGAACGCAGCGAAAUGCGAUACGUAGUGUGAAUUGCAGAAUUCCGCGAAUCAUCGAGUCUUUGAACGCAAGUUGCGCCCGAGGCUUGUCCGAGGGCAUUUCCGCUAGAGCGUCACCGCGCCCCCCCACCGAUCCACUCUCGCCGCGAGGCGCCAGUCGGGUCGAGUGCAAGUGGCCGUCCCGGUGGAGCGGGCCUCCUUUCGGAGGAGGCCCGACUUGGAAGGGUCGGCUGAAAUGGAUGGAAUCGGGCCGCCGUGGUGACACAGUCCGCGAUCGGGUGAUUUCGUCGCGAGGCUCCUUCGGGAGGUUCUCGGCGAAUUUUUUCUAAGUGCUUGGCUGCGUCCCCCAGUUGGCUCGGGUUACCUCAUGCAGGUCGAGCGCCGCCCCCGCGGCGCGCGUCACGCCAUCAGAACCUCUAAUCGGAAAAGACUACCCGCUGAGGUUUAAGCUUCUU